GGAGAGGUGACCGAGUGGCUGAAGGCGCUGCUCUCGAAAAGCAGUAAGGGUUCACGCCCUUCGAGGGUUCGAAUCCCUCCCUCUCCG
rnacentral:tRNA from 1 species